rnacentral:rRNA from 1 species
AUGGCUCUUUGAAAAUAUAUAAUAAAGAGUCUAGCCUGCCCAGUGGUUAAUUUAACGGCCGCGGUACUCUGACCGUGCGAAGGUAGCAUAAUCAUUUGUCUUAUAAUUGAAGUCUGGAAUGAAUGGUUUAACAAGAGCUAAACUGUCUCUAUUAAUAGGAUAAAAUUUUAUGAUUAAGUUAAAAAGCUUAAAUAUAAUUAAAAGACGAGAAGACCCUAUCGAGUUUAAGGAAAAUAAUUAAAAUUUUUAACAUUGAUGAAUACUAAAUAUUUAAUAAAACUUUAGUUGGGGCGAUUCAGGAACAAAUAAAGCUUCUUGUAAUUAAAAUCUAUUGGUAAAUACACGAUCCAUAAUUUGUGAUUAAAAGAAUUAAUUACCGUAGGGAUAACAGCAUUAUCUUUUUUGAGAGCUCAAAUCGAAAAAAAUGUUUGUGACCUCGAUGUUGGACCAAGAUAUCCUGAAGAUGUAGAAGUCUUUAAAGGUUGGUCUGUUCGACCAUUAAAAUCUUACGUGAUCUGAGUUCAGACCGG